AUACAUACCUGGCAGGGAAGAUACCGUGAUCACGAAGGCGGUUCACCCAGGGCGAGGCUCGGCCAUUGCACUCCGGCUGUGUUGACCCCUGCGAAUUCCUCAAAUGUGGGAAUCUCGACUGCAUAAUUUCUGCUAGUGGGGGACUGCGUUCGCGCUCUCCCCUG